rnacentral:lncRNA from 1 species
AUUGAGGAUACCCCAGAGCCACUCCCCUCCCCAAACUGUGUGUAAUAACAAGUCCUGAUAACUGCUUCACUUAGCAAAACUGCAGCUUGUGUUAGCCUGUGAAUAACAGCCCUUGUCAUUUACUGGCAAUUAAUUAAGUCCUGGAGUCUUGCCGUGUAUCCUGUGUUUACCAGAAUCUCUUACAAAUAUCCCUCACCUACCUUUUGUCAACCCAUGCAUUGUGCUCUGAAAGCCCUGUGUGCACUGAAUAAGUUCUGAGGAGAUUGGCUCACAUUUCAAGGUAAAGAAAUAUGGGCUCUGCUCUUUAGAGUUAAAGCCUCCAGGGAUCUGAAAACUCUUCCCUUGAGUUUACAGAACUUUAUUGUUCUAUAUCCUCAGCAUCCAUCCUGCACAUACAAUAUUCAGAGACCUCCCUGCAAGAAUGCCCAGCUCUGCCAGCAUAUUUGGGCAUUGCCUUUCUCUUGGGAAGCUCUGCUCUGCAUGACAAAAUUAAAUGCACCUGGAAACAUAAAAUGAGAGCCUUGGAAAUGGACAACGUGAGUAACAGGAGUGCCAGAAGAUUGAUGUAGAAUUGAGUUACCAUCACUGAUAUCAAUCAUUUCCCUACCAUGCUUCACAGAACCUAAAACCACAAUGAAGUUAGAGGGGAAUGCACAUUCUCACAGUGCAGAUAUAUUUCACCAGUGCAACUUUAUCAUAUCAAAACUCACGACAAAUUUGCAGGUGUUGACUCCCUGGUCGGGCAUUUCCAGCUCAGCACCUACCUGGGUGUUCUGCAGCAUUAUUCCCUGUAUCAAUCCUUGUCUGAUCAAACUGAUGCCCUUUUGAAAUCGAUGGAGUUAAGUCAUUUCACAUUGCCCAAGGAUCUGUUCUACUGUGGAAAUACUUCCUUUUCUGUCACCUGGUGUUUUCAUCUGGCUUGGAGGUGAGUUUGAAGGCUACAAUAUACUUUUAUCUUUUAAAUCAGCUGCUGAUGCAUUAAAAAAGGGUGAGAUAAUCUCUUCUCUUAUCAUCUUUACAAAAAAGAUCCAGUCUUUUCUUUGAAACUCCCCAAAACUGGGAGUCCACAACUUCUCAGUGCUCCUGGGUACUUUCUGAGAGAUUACUCAAGCCAACUUCAUGUGUUUAGCACAGAGAUGUGGGAAGAUCACACAUCUUUCAUCUGGGCCUGUGAAAUUUUGCACAGAAACUUUAUUUCUGCCUGUGGUCACUGUAUUUCACUAAAAAUUAUUCUCCUUCAGAAAAUGUAGGGGAAAAAACCCCAACAUUCCUUUUUAAGUGUGGAUUCUGGCAUCCUCACCUGAGCCAGCCCAUGCUGUG